rnacentral:lncRNA from 1 species
UUUUAAGUCUAAGGUCAAGAAUGUCUGCCGACACUCUACUAUCCAUAUUCUAUCCAGAUUUAUUUGAUCUAUUCUACUAAUAUUCCAUGAUGUAGAUUUAUUCAAUGCUUAAAGCUUAGUUUGGUAUUGAGGUCUAUGUAACGCUGUUAAAUAAAUGAACUUGAGAAAAAAGUAUAUAGGAAUAUGCUUCUGCGUUCUCCGGUGGGACCACAGAAAAUAUAUCGUAACUGACUCAUCGCGAUACGGAGAACAUGUACAAUAUUACAUAUGAAAACAAACGGGUAUUUUUCCAACGUACUUUUUUACCACACAUAACACAAUCUCCCCGCAAUCCCAAAUGAAGCCUAACUCUACUACUAUCCAAUUUCGAUCGGUUUAAGAUUA